GUGGGUGUGGCUUGGUGGGUUGAUGUGACUGGGUGGGCAUGGCUAUGUAACCAUGUGACUGGGGGAUCAAAAGACAGAAACUCACUAACAAUGUCCUGCUGGAGCAGGGUUGGACUAAAUAACCUCCAGGUCCCUUCCAGCCCUGGAUUAUUCUCUGAAACUGCAUCUGUUCCAGGCAGAGGAUGAUCAAACACAAUCCAUUUUCUAAGGAAAUCCGUUCCGUAGUUUGAGAGCAAUGAAGAAACUGUCUCCCAAAAGGAACUCAAUUCUUAUAUAUAUUCCUAUUGCUAUCUUGGGACAAUGCUGCAUGCAUAUAUAUUCUUAUAUAUAUUCCUAUUGCUAUCUUGGGACAAUUUGCUUCAUCUUCCUUCAGGUAUGAUUUAAGAAACUUAUGUCAAUAGAAACACAUUUCGGCCAACUUAAAUUCCACAAUUUAGAGCAACAAUCUUUCACAUUUAUUAGGGAAUACUUUCCUCUUAAACUUAUUGGGUUUAAUUUUGAAUCAGCAUGGAUGGGAGUAAAAUUAGAGUAUGUUGUGAGAAAAAAAAAAGUAUGGGGUAAAUAUAAAUUAAUUUGUUACACUUUCUUUUCUUUUGUUUCUCUAUGCUACACAUCUCUAGCUUCAAAUGCAAUAUGAAAUACUCUGCAGUUCUCAUUGAUAGAUACUGGAAAUUUAGCAGAUUUAUUUAGUGUAAUUUCAUGCCUUCCAGAAUUUUAGAUUACAAUUCCUACAAAAUUUUUUGUCACUGGUCACAUAAGCAAGAACUGAUAGAAAUUAAACACAUCUGGAAAAUAUUUGAGGUUAAUGACUUCCCUUUUUUUCUUUUCAUCUCAGCUGUACAUUUCAAAUGCUGUUCCACAAGUGAAAGGCAGUUGUCAGAGUAGUGUGUUCAUUGGCUUCAUGAUGUUAUAAGGAAAGCCAAUCAGCAUGUUAUUCCAAUAAAUUUUAUUAAAAGCAGGAAGAACCUGUUGGUCUUGAGCUAGUCUACAUAUAACCAUAAAAGGAAUGACAGUAAUCCCAUGUCAGGCUCAUCACCAAAGUUGACACACCUUUGGCCAGAUUUGGCAUCAUGGAUGCUUGUGCUGCUACUUCUUUUAUUUUUAAUUUUGGGAACAAAUAUGUCUAAUUGCAGAAUGUGCUAAAUGUGUGCUUGAGAUGAAACACCACAAAUUGUACUGGAGAUUUCUUUAAUGGAACAUUUAAAUGGAGGAGGGAGGACAUCAAAAGUACCCAUAACAUUCCUCCCCCCAAAGAAGAGUCACAGACUGAAGGGUCUCAGACCAUAUGACAGUGUUGCUAAAUUCUGGUACUUUUGUCCUGAUCCUUGGUAUCUGUCUUAACUAAGAAAACAGGAAUCCCUGGCUGUUGGAUCUGCAAGGUUGUUUUCUUCAACUGCAGAUCCAAGAAUCAAAAUAUAGCUUUUCUGUACUCCUCCAUUGCUUGUUUCUUCAACAGACAGUUCUUUCAUUCACUUCUUCCAUUUCUCCAUUUUUGCCUUUGUUCCAAUCUACUAUUACUUUCUAGCAUUAUUUGAGAAUGUGGCCUGGACAGAUAGAUCUAUUUCUCUUUGCCUUCUAGGUGAAGACUUAUGGCAAGUUUCUCUCAACAGUAGUUUUUUUAGUAAAGAAAGCAAACCUCCACCACAUACAGCAAGACUGUACCAGAGAAAAGCCAAGUCCACCUUUCCUUUUUUGCAUUAGAAAUAUUAGGGAGAGGGACAUUUCUUUCAAUGUUUUAAUUUAUAUUGUCCCAAUUUGUUUAUAUAGCUAUGUAACUCAUCCUCCAGCUGAUACUUACAAGACUUGGAUUUAUACUAUAGUCAUAAAACAUAACAUCUCUCCACACAAUUGUAAAACAGCUAUAACCAGAAAAGACCUUCCCAUGACAGAUAUUAUUUCAUACAUUAUUUCAUAUUCAAGUUUUCAUUUCCAUGGAGGAUUUAUUUAUUUGCUGUGUUUUUGUAAACUUAGGGACCAAAAAGAGUGCAUUAUAAAGACAGUGAUGAUAAUAAUCUAAAGCCAUGAGAAAUAAUCAUAUACAUCCAACUAGAAUAAGGACCAGGUUUACCAUCUCCUAAAGCCAAUAGUACUUAAGUAUAACUUUACUCCAAUUCUUGACAUCUUCAUUGAGAACGUACCAGUAAGCCCCAUUAGUAUGUUCUCUUAUAUGGAAUAUAUCUACUGCAGAAGUAUUUCAGGAUCAGAAAUUUCAGUAUUUUCAGAAAUGAAAAAGACCCUGAAAGAGUACAGAGAAAUUCUUAAUGUAUCAUUCUGAAAAUCCAGUCCAAUCUUUGACUUCUUGUGUUGGGGCCAAAUGGUAUUAGAUAUGGCACGGAAAGCCCAUAGGAAGAAAGAUCUAUACAAUCUUUCUAAGAGAAAAUGCAUUUAUUAGCAAAAAUAAGCUGAACUAAUGACUCACUCCAGAAACUUUGAUUUAUCCAUUAUUUAAGGCAGCUGAUUCUUAAACAAGUUGCUACAGAAAGGUAUUCUACUUCAAGGUGAAGAACAGCAUCUGGAAUAGAGUCAGGCACUCGCAGUAAUAUUUUACUGAUUCUUGAUUGGAUGGCUUCAAGUUGUAAUAGAUCAGAUAAGGGAAAGAAAAUGUUUUUUUUCUUCCUAGUGUUUUUCCAAAAGAGGAUUUUCCCACCAGAUCUGCUUUUUUCAAAUCAACUGAGGGUUGAUCCAUUGGUUCAUCCAUUGCAACAGACAAUCUUACAGUGAGAUGAGCAGCAAAUAAAUUUAAUAAAAUUAAAAAUAAACUGACCAACCAAUUUGCCAGCUGAAGUUGAUGUGGGCUGAGAGAAAGACCAAAGUCAUCCAGCUGGCUUUCAUGCCUAAAGCGGGAUGAGAUCUGAACUAUGGCAGCUAGCAAGUAUAAUGAUUGCUUACUAGCCUUUUAAACUUUUUUUUACAACUCACACACCAACAUAGGUAAUGGAUGUUUUAGAAAUUCAUCCUAUUUCCAACUACAGCAUGCUAGACACUAACCAGAAGCUAAGAAGACAAGCAUUUUGUCACACUUAUCUUCUAUGGAGCCCAUCUAAGCUUUCUGGGUAGCAGAUUUAAUAGAUUAAUCAUGCCCUGCAUGAAAGAGAAUUCCCUUCUACUACAAACUAGUGUCACUGAAUGAACAAUAGAAUGGUUUUCCAUUAAUUUUUUAAAAAGAAUUCCACUGCAUUGAUAACUUCUAUAAGCCAUUUCUUCAGCUAUCUGUUGCUGAUGGAUGUUCUUGCUAGAAUUUCAAUUCUAAUACCCUCCAUUUAUUUAUUUAUUUAUUUAUAAAAUGUAUUGGCCACUCAUCAGAGGGCAACUAUUUGUUAUCACGCUUGUUUUAUAUAUUUAUCACAUUUAUAUCCCGCCUUUCCUUAUACCCAGGAAUUCAAGACAGCACGCUGGUUAUUCCUUUUCCCUCCAAUUUUAUGCAGCAGCCUGGGACGAAAGAUAGACAACAGUCCAAAAUAACCCUUCGUAUUUUAUUUUUUUGUAGUUGAAUGGAGUUUUGAGCCUAAGUUUACCUAGUGCCAUUAGGCCGACGCUUAAACUGCUUCAUCACUCUGCGUCCCCCUCAUCAGGGGACUGACAAGCAAAUCAAAAGCGCAAGGGGAGAUGCCACCCCAAGCACGCUUGCAAGAAAACACUGGGCCCUGCUGCAUUAUCGCCCUUCAACGGCAGAAGGUUAUCCCUUAAAGGACCCACUGGGGAAGGCCGCCUGCCCGUUUGCAGAGAGCGUUUCUCCAUGGCUGAGAGUCCCCACACUUGAGAAAGGGAGGGAAGAAAGGAAAGGAUUCCAACCCGAAGCUCACUUCGGAUGCUCGGUUCCCCCUCCCGCCCCAAACGUUAGCCCAGCGACUACAAUUCCCGGGCGGAGGGGUUCCUUUGGACUUCGCGCCUUCCACUCUUCAUCACCGCCACCAUCACCACCACCUCGGCACGGUGGGUGGCGGCCUCUCUCGUCAGGUUUUCUCGUUGGAAGGAACCACGGGGCUCGUUCUCCCGGGGGGGGGGGAGAAGGCGGGUGUUGGGCUAAGCUCGGCUUCCAACCUGCACGCCCCUCUCCUCCUUCCUGUUCCCCCCCC